rnacentral:lncRNA from 1 species
CCUACGGGGUUUCCGCGUCCCUGACGCAGAGGCGGGCCGGGGGAGCCGCGCCGGAGCCGGAGGCGGAAACCGGAGAUGCUGUUCGUCGGGCGGCCGGGGCUUCCCGCGGGUGACAGGUCCCGGCUCGCGGCUCGCUGCCGGCACUCAGGUGCGGGAGGGGAACUCGGUUAUUCCGCUUGCUCCCACCGCUGUUUAAUUCCACAAUGAAGACCUGCCUGGCAUUUAGCCCGACCGUUAACAUCCAUUCAGAUCUUGGAAACGUAAAAUUCCUGCUAGGGAAAAUGUCGGCCACCCAGCGAGUCCCGGGAAGUCCGGUUUACCGGUACAUUUUGCAGCGCGAGAAGGAAAAAUGGAGUGUCAUUUGCAGAUGUCUCUGGAGUGGCCAAUUCUAUUCUCAUAUCAUUUCCGGUCUCUCGCUUUCUUUUUAAGAGUGUUACUGAUUUUAACCUAACAGGUGUGAGGAAUGCCUGAAAAAAAUCAUAAACUUUUGCAAAUGGAUAGAAACUAAGCAGUAAUUUUCCUUGGAACGCACGAAUUUAAAUGGACGCUUUGGCAGAUACAGCUCUGUGCCGCUUUGGGACUACAUCGGUUUUGAUUCCGUCUAUAUUGGUCAUUUUUUAAAGGCUGUAGACUUUGCCGAUAUAUAGUGAAAUGUUGAUUUAUUGAAAUUCAGAGCAAUAAUAUCCUUGCUGCGUAAACUGCACGGGUCUUUAAGCUCCAGACGUUUUCAAUUAGCCCCAUCUCAGGUCUCUCGACAAAAACAAAAAACAAUAUAUGUAGUCAUUUAACUUUAAAAUACAACCCUACCCAUGGUGCAAAAUAUCAUCGAGACUAUCAGGGUAACAUUUUCUCAUAUUUCAGAAGGCCAACUUAAAGAAUCAUUACUGGGAAAGCUGACUCAAUUUUCUAUAUUAUAGAAGAUAUUCGGUUCUAAAUACUACUUUUUUAAUACAAAAAUUAUUUAUUUAUUUGAAAAUUCUUAUCGUGCCAGGAACUAGGACAAAGAUUAAGAAUACCAAGAUGGCAAAGUGGGCCAGGCCCUCAGUCCAGUGGUACUGCUCCUCAUUCAUCCCUCUGUAAUGUUCGAAAUCCAGAUUUGAGGUGAUGCCAGAUAUUUUCUGAGAAUGAUGGUCGUCAGACAUCCUUGUUGUCUCAUCCAAAAUCUACUAAAAAUAUCCUGAGAUCUAAGAAAUUGAAAAAAUACUAAAUCGAAAAAGUGACCAACCGUUUGGUUUCACUUGAGCCUUAGGGUGAAAACAAUUGAUCAUAGGGUGAUACCAAUCAACAAUUAACACUUAAUCGUUGGUUGUUUUCUUUAGGAUUAGCACUACACUAGAUGGUGUAGGAUUUUCAAGUCUCUUAAGAGGAAAUAAAGGCUAAACUCUAUGGUAUAGGUUUACAAGUGCUAAGUAAGUUUCAAGGUAAGAAAACUUCAAAUACAGUCAAAAUCCACACCCACACUGCCUGUAACCUUACAGUGUAUUCCUAAUAAAUGCAGUGAUUACCACAUUUGCGUGUGCUUACUAAAUAGUAAAUAACAUUUGUAACUAAUAAAUGAAUUAAAGAUCAAAACGUAUACUUUAACAAAGUUUUGCAUAUCAACACAGAGCGUGCUCUUUUAAAUUUAAGUGAUUCUGCUUACCUGGAAUCUGAAAUAAGAUAGCCUUCUCAGUGAACUAUAAAUGCUUCUUUGUCAACCUUUAGUGUUUGAAAUCAUUUAUACUGCAAAUAAUCCUAAAAGUCAGAUUAUUUCCCUAUCUAAGCCAACUAAGGUAGUUUAGUUUUGCUCUUCAAGAGCCUCAGCUGACAAUUCUAAAGCUAUCUAGCAACCAGAGAAGCAAAGAAUUAGUACAAAUCUGUCAGUGCUACAUGGAAAAACAAUAACAAAACCUUAAAAGAAUAUGCUUUCAGACGGGCGCGGUGGCUCAUGCCUGUAAUCGCAGCACUUUGGGAUGCCAAGAUGGGCAGAUCACGAGGUCAGGAGAUCAAGACCAUCCUGGCCAACAUGACGAAACCCUGUCUCUACUAAAAGUACAAAAAUUAGCUGGGUGUGGUGGUGUGCGCCUGUAGUCCCAGCUACUCCGGAGGCUGAGGCAGGAGAAUCGCUUGAACACGGGAGGCGGAGAUUGCACUCCAGCCUGGGUGACAGAGCAAGACUCUGUCUAAAAAUAAAUAAAUAAUAAAAAAUAUGCUUUGUGUUGAUAGUGACAUCUUCCUAUAAAAAGUACCAUGUACUCUCAUCAUUCAGGGCGCAUUUGUAUGCCAUCUUGAGAUUCUUACAUUAUUUUGAACCCAUCAGUUGAUUUUAAG